UACGUAGGCAGCUAGCGUUGUUCGGAAUUACUGGGCGUAAAGCGAGUGUAGGCGGUUUGCCAAGUCCAUUGUGAAAUCUCCCGGCUCAACUGGGAGGGUGCGGCGGAAACUGGCAGGCUAGAGUGCGGAAUGGGAGACUGGAAUUCCUGGUGUAGCAGUGAAAUGCGUAGAUAUCAGGAGGAAUACCGAUGGCGAAGGCAGGUCUCUGGGCUGACACUGACGCUCAUGCACGAAAGCGUGGGGAGCAAACAGG
rnacentral:rRNA from 1 species